ACAAAGAUAUAUCGAUGUCUAAUUUCUCCAAUUUCGAAUUCCCCUUCAAACAACAGUUGCAUUUAUAUGAUAGCUGUUCACAUGUGCAACUGCGACCCUUCCAUACAUAUUUGAAUGGAAACAUGUGGUGCCACUAACUGAAGAAAUGUCAAUCAAAACACUGCACACUGAUAAUCUUGGGUGUGUUAUCAGUCUUGGACACAUCCAUCUCUCAACUCUACCAAAAUAUCACAUCGAACGAUUGUUGAAUUAAACAGGAUGUUGCAGUUCUUCACAGUUAAGGAUUUAUUAAGACAAAAUGAUAUGCCCUGGAUUUCAAUGUAAAAGAAAACGAAUACCCUCAUGACACCACUUGCAGCAACAUUUCAGAGAAAUGAUUAAAGUGUCCUAAACAAAUCAAAAGAUGACACCCAAGAAACUUGUUGAGGCUGUUUUACUUUGACUGAUGAAAAAAUGCUAUGAACCUUUGGAGACCAAAGAAUUGGAAUCGUCUCUAUUAUGAGGGAAAGAUGUAACCAAGAAAGAAACAUGGUUGACCUUCAUCACAACUUUGGUUUAAUUUCGUGGAAGAAAGGAAAAAUACUGUGGGUAUUAACCUGUUAACCAAGACAUUGUAAUAUGUGAUCACACUGCCAUUCAGUGAAAAAGCCCUUUGAGUUGAUACAUGAACACUGCACAUUGUACAUGCUUGUUCCGAAGUGGAAAAAUUUGUUUGUUCCUGUACCUAGUUUAUAGUAUGCUUUAAGAAAGCCUUAAUUCAAAAAGUACUUUAUAAAAUGACAAAAUGAUUUUUCAUAUAUAUUCUGUAGAGUGUGUACAGAUAAAAAAUGUUUCUAAUAUGAAUAUGUACUGCAUUUCAUAUAAAAGAGAGAAAUUUUCCCAAAUUCUUCAUGAACGAUAAAAACUAAUAUGAUACCACAAAACACAUGAUAAUGUUAGAGAGGAACGUUCCUUUAAAGAUAUUUUUAAGUGGGCUUUGCAAUGUAUCAACAGAUAUUCAUUACAAGGCAGAGGAACGUUCCUCAAAUGCACGGGUUGCAAGCUUUAUGAGGUAUAAGUAAUCAACAGAAAUACAACCAUUUGUGAGAGGAACGUUCCUCAAAUGCAUAAUUUAAUAUGAAUAAGGUAUCAACAUAUACAAAUCUAAGAGAAGAACGUUUCUCAUACGUGUAAGUAUCCUGUGUGAACAAUGUUAGAUUUUAGUGAGGAACGUUCCUGAAAUGCCUAAUGUUUGACAAUUCAUGAGACAACCAUUUGUGAGAGGAACGUUCCUCAAAUGCCUGAUAUUUGACUAUCCUUGAGGUGCCUACAGUAAUAAUUAAAUUCGAGCGAGGAACGUUCCUCUAAUGCCUGAUGUUUGACCAUUCAUGAGAUGUCUUCAGAAAAAGUGAAUUUGAGAGAGGAACGUUCCUCAAAUGUCUCAUGUGUUAAGAUUCUUAAAGUAUUUAAAAAUACACGCUGUAUGUGCACAUGUAGGAGAGGAACGUUACUCAAAUGUCUGGUGAUAAUAAAUUCAUCUUAGUUUA